GGAAAGUAAAAGUCGUAACAAGGUUUCCGUAGGUGAACCUGCGGAAGGAUCAUUAUUGUAUAACCGAGGUGCGAGGGCUGUCGCUGACCCGAAAGGUCGUGCACGCCCGAGUGCCCUCACACACAUCCAUCUCACCCCUGUGUGCACCACCGCGUGGGUCCCCCUUUGGCUUGUUCGGAGGGGGGCUUACGUUUUCACACAAACUUUGUAUGCAGUGUAGAAUGUAUUUUUUGUUUUUGCGAUCACGCAAUCAAUACAACUUUCAACAACGGAUCUCUUGGCUCUC
rnacentral:misc_RNA from 1 species